GAUGAACGCUGGCGGCGUGCCUAAUACAUGCAAGUCGAGCGAACAGACGAGGAGCUUGCUCCUCUGACGUUAGCGGCGGACGGGUGAGUAACACGUGGAUAACCUACCUAUAAGACUGGGAUAACUUCGGGAAACCGGAGCUAAUACCGGAUAAUAUAUUGAACCGCAUGGUUCAAUAGUGAAAGACGGUUUUGCUGUCACUUAUAGAUGGAUCCGCGCCGCAUUAGCUAGUUGGUAAGGUAACGGCUUACCAAGGCGACGAUGCGUAGCCGACCUGAGAGGGGGAUCGGCCACACUGGAACUGAGACACGGUCCAGACUCCUACGGGAGGCAGCAGUAGGGAAUCUUCCGAAAUGGGCGAAAGCCUGACGGAGCAACGCCGCGUGAGUGAUGAAGGUCUUCGGAUCGUAAAACUCUGUUAUUAGGGAAGAACAAAUGUGUAAGUAACUAUGCACGUCUUGACGGUACCUAAUCAGAAAGCCACGGCUAACUACGUG
rnacentral:rRNA from 1 species